rnacentral:tRNA from 1 species
UGGUUCAUGGUCCAAAGGUAGGAUACCUCUGCCAUAGAGAGAGAUGCAGGUUCGAAUCCUGCUGAGCCAACCA